UACACAUGCAGUCGAGCGAGGCCCAUCCUUCGGGGUGGUGCCCUAGCGGCGAACGGGUGAGUAACACGUGGGCAACCUGCCCUCAGCUCUGGGAUAACUCCAAGAAAUUGGUGCUAAUACCGGAUGUGACCGCUGACCGCAUGGUCUGGUGGUGGAAAGAUUUAUCGGCUGAGGAUGGGCCCGCGGCCUAUCAGCUUGUUGGUGGGGUGAUGGCCUACCAAGGCGACGACGGGUAGCCGGCCUGAGAGGGUGACCGGCCACACUGGGACUGAGACACGGCCCAGACUCCUACGGGAGGCAGCAGUGGGGAAUAUUGCGCAAUGGGCGAAAGCCUGACGCAGCGACGCCGCGUGAGGGAUGACGGCCUUCGGGUUGUAAACCUCUUUCAGCAGGGACGAAGCGGAAGUGACGGUACCUGCAGAAGAAGCACCGGCCAACUACGUGCCAGCAGCCGCGGUAAUACGUAGGGUGCAAGCGUUGUCCGGAAUUAUUGGGCGUAAAGAGCUCGUAGGCGGUCUGUCACGUCGGCUGUGAAAACCCGAGGCUCAACCUCGGGCCUGCAGUCGAUACGGGCAAACUAGAGUGUGGAAGGGGAGACUGGAAUUCCUGGUGUAGCGGUGAAAUGCGCAGAUAUCAGGAGGAACACCGGUGGCGAAGGCGGGUCUCUGGGCAACAACUGACGCUGAGGAAGGAAAAGCGUGGGGGAGCAAACAGGAUUAAAUACCCCUGGUAGUCCACGCCGUAAACGUUGGGCGCUAGGUGUGGGGGCCAUUCCACGGUCUCCGUGCCGCAGCUAACGCAUUAAGCGCCCCGCCUGGGGAGUACGGCCGCAAGGCUAAAACUCAAAGGAAUUGACGGGGGCCCGCACAAGCGGCGGAGCAUGUUGCUUAAUUCGAUGCAACGCGAAGAACCUUACCUAGGCUUGACAUGCACGGAAAUCUCGCAGAGAUGCGGGGUGCCUUUGGCGUCGUGCACAGGUGGUGCAUGGUUGUCGUCAGCUCGUGUCGUGAGAUGUUGGGUUAAGUCCCGCAACGAGCGCAACCCUCGUUCUAUGUUGCCAGCACGUCAUGGUGGGGACUCAUAGGAGACUGCCGGGGUCAACUCGGAGGAAGGUGGGGAUGACGUCAAAUCAUCAUGCCCCUUAUGUCUAGGGCUGCAAACAUGCUACAAUGGCCGGUACAAAGGGCUGCGAUACCGUGAGGUGGAGCGAAUCCCAAAAAGCCGGUCUCAGUUCGGAUUGGGGUCUGCAACUCGACCCCAUGAAGUUGGAGUCGCUAGUAAUCGCAGAUCAGCAACGCUGCGGUGAAUACGUUCCCGGGCCUUGUACACACCGCCCGUCACGUCACGAAAGUCGGUAACGCCCGAAGCCGGUGGCCCAACCCCUUGUGGGAGGGAGCCUC
rnacentral:rRNA from 1 species